rnacentral:misc_RNA from 1 species
CCGGCGGCACGCUUGAAGGAGAGACCCAACGGCGUCUUCCAUCAGCGCACACCUGUGCCGACCGUUUUUCUUUUUUUUGGAUUGUGCGUGCCUCACUUGCCCUGCCCAGGACAACAGUCGCAAGCCAAGGCUCCAACACUGCCCCCCCCCCCUUCCCCCCUUUUUUUCAAGAUGGAUAUUUCGUAUCAAUUAUGGUCGCUCGUAGAGCAGGCGCGGCGCUCAUCGACCAUGCCGCCAGCGCGCAUCACCCUCCCUGCUCGUCAAACGCGAACAGCGGCAGAGACUCAGGCAACCGACUCUUUGCUGAUCACCUCCCAAGCGCUUGACCGUGCCGCUGACGUGGCCAUCGGUCGCGCCACAGCGCACAUUUCCGCUGUCAUGGCCGCUCUCGACGCAGUGACACCAAGUUCCUUGGCGCACCUGCAGAACAGCCUUCUGCUCUCGGAUGCGGAGCUGCUUUCCGUAAGCAGCUCGCUGAAGGCGUUCACGGAGACCCUCACCAAGGUCACUGCACUCACGGAGGCACGACGCUGGCGCGGUCGCUUGACGGGCGCACCUGCAACCGCCACAGGCAGGGAUGACGCCUUGGAGGGUCUCGCAGUGGACAAACCGGAUAGGCAAGAUGGAAAGACCCGAAGUGGCGUUGUCGCGCAUCUUCGACAGGCCGUCUCGACUCUGCAGCGGCGGAUCGCCUCAAAGCGCCUACACGUCGCCCUUGCGAAGGAGGAGUUGGCCCUGUACAAGACGGAGCUGUUUCUCUACGGUCACUGCGGUGUGGUCGCAUGCUCAGACGAGGUGGCUGCCGAGCUCGCCCGCCGCAUGGAGGCGACGCACAAAGAGGCAGGUUUGCGGGGCCAGCAAGGCGCCAAGGCACUUGAGUUGGCGGAAGUCAACGUGCUCUCUGAUGGCGGUGGCGGGCAGCAGCGGCGUCAUCACACAUCGUCAAAGUCACCCGGCCCGAUGCCGGGCUUUGGCACGACGUUUCGUGUAGUCGAUGGCAUGGUGCAGCGGGCCGCCGAAACCGUCAAAGCAGCUGGCAGCCACGCCGAUUCGGCACUGCAUGUAGCACUCACGGGCGGUCACGCUGCAGCGCGGCAGCUACUGAACGCCGGCACUGCUUCUGUCGCGGAGAUCCUUAUGCUCGGCGCUGGAGCGCGCCGCGGCGGCUGCGGCAACCUCUCGAUCCCAGCUGUUGAGGCACUCGUGACGACUGCAGGCGGUGGUGCGCCCCGGCUUCCGACUCUUCAGCCGUACCAGCUCACGAACGAAGAGGAAGCGUAUCUGCGAGAGCAGAAUCGCGCGCUUCUUGAGGCCCAGCGUCAGGCAUCCGCACAGGAUGCCAAGGCAGUCGAGGCUCUGGUCAGAGAACUAUCGCAGCUGACGUCGCUGAUGAGCGAGCAGGUGGUGCAGCAAACGGAGCAGUUUUCGCUGAUCGUCAAGAACACGGAAGCGGCGCACACGAACGUCAAAAAGGCGAUGAGCGAGGUAGAGAAGCCCCUGAGCGCCUUUUGGAAUCCGACGCGGCAGCUCGUGGCGGUCCUCUGGGUGUGCAUGGCUGUUCUUCUCGCCGUGAACUGGGCCUCACGGUGAGAGAAGCAGCUGAAGAACACAGACACAGACGGAGAACGACAAGACCCGUAGUGCUGCAACGGGCAGACGCUCUCGAGCAUGUGUUUUCCUUGCUUCCAUGCAGACACCUCCGUCGACAUUGGAGGGGAUGGGCUUGGGAGUGGCGCCUCCCCCCCCCCAUCUCUUGGAUUCGCAGGGGCUCUUAGCGGCUCCAUUCGAAGAAAAGCUGAAGGCGAGUCUCGCUCAUCCGCACACACGUUUCGGAGAGAAGCGCAGAGGAAGCAGAUGAAGAUAUCACAGCUGCCUCCGCUCCCCCUCCCCCCACCCAAAAAAAAAAAGAAAAUGCGAAGACACCACUUGCAGAGGGUAUCUCGGAGUAACCGUCAUGGUCGAAGCUAUCUCGUAGACGGAGGGGGUAUGUUUAUGCCUUUCGCACUCCUCGAAUACAGCAUUCCUCCGCGACCUAAUGAACCGGAAAAGGGGGCCGCACUCUCCCAGUAGCGACCGCGAGCAGGAAGCGUUGUGUUUCGCCGUAGUGCUCUUCGCGAAUGCUAUCCUCGACGUUUUUUUCCCAG